CCGCACCCACGCUCCCACCUGCUCCUUCCCCCUCUUUUAAUCCCCGCUGGUGCGAGCCCUAGAAACCCUAGAGGCCACCAACCCUUCUCCCUCUCGCGCCGCCAAGCCGCCCCCUUUCUUUCCUACAAAACCACCGAGAACGCCGCCACUGGUUCCCCGUCGCGCCACCGUCUCCGGCCACCCCGCGCCAAGCUAAGGCCACCUCAAGAACCGCCUCGUCUCCCUGGUCAUCCUCGUGCAAGGAAUCGAGCGGGGGUAGACCACAUCGUCGCCAAGCUCACCGAUUCCGUGCGUCAGCCGUCGGCGUUUUUCGUUGAUUCCGGCCGCCACCGGCAACCUCCGUCCCCGCCGUCUACUCCUCGAGUUUCACCGUUCCCGCCGCCGGCGUCUCUCCGACGACCACCCGCUGGCGGCGCCUCUUCCUCCUGAUCCGCGCCGGCGAGGCGCUCCUGAUGCGCCCUCCUUUUCUUCCUGGAACGUCGCCAAUCGCUCGCGCGCCCGCCGUACCGCCGCGGUGACCGCCCCCUCCUGGAACGCGCACGGCGUCGAACGCCCCGCGUGCAAGUCCCGGAUGGUUGCCACAUCAGCGGCCACGCUGGCGCCACGUCGUUAUCUGGGCCCCACCCGUCAUCGACCCUGGCUAGAUCCCACGCGGCAUUUGCUUCUUCUCGGAUAGGAUCGCGAAGUGGUGUUGUGAGAUACGACAAGUUUCCCGGAUGUUCCUCGGCAAGCUCUAACAGGCA